rnacentral:rRNA from 1 species
ACCUUAGUUUGUAGAUCAGUUUGUAUAUCGCUGUCGAAAGAUUAUCUCUUGAGAAAUUUUUAUAAAAAAAAUAAUUAAAGAUGACAAGUCAGGGUGCAGUUGAUGUUAAGGGGUGAGAUGGGCUACAAUGGUUGAAAUUAUAUGGAUUUAAUCUUGUAAAUUUUUAUGAAGGUGGAUUUAAUUGUAAUAUAGAUUUAGGUUAKCUGGAUGAAAAGUACUA